GGAGGUGCAGCAGAACUGUGUUCGAUGGAGAAAGAAGUUCUCGUUUGUGUGUAAGAUGAGCGCCAACCCCAUCACCGGAGUGUUGGACCCCUGCGUCUGCAGAGUCUCUGUACGCAAGGAGCUGAAAGGAGGAAAGGCCUUCUCAAAGCUCGGUUUCGCUGAUCUCAACAUGGCAGAAUUCGCUGGAUCAGGCUCCACAGUCCGCUGCUGCAUCCUGGAGGGUUACGACACCAAAAACACCCGACAGGACAACUCCAUCCUCAAGGUACAC